CCUGGGCUGCAGGAGGUUGCGGCGGCCGCGGCAGCAUGGUGGUGCCGGAGAAGGAGCAGAGCUGGAUCCCCAAGAUCUUCAAGAAGAAGACCUGCACGACGUUCAUAGUUGACUCCACAGAUCCGGGAGGGACCUUGUGCCAGUGUGGGCGCCCCCGGACCGCCCACCCCGCAGUGGCCAUGGAGGAUGCCUUCGGGGCAGCCGUGGUGACCGUGUGGGACAGCGAUGCACACACCACGGAGAAGCCCACCGAUGCCUACGGAGAGCUGGACUUCACGGGGGCCGGCCGCAAGCACAGCAAUUUCCUCCGGCUCUCUGACCGAACGGAUCCAGCUACAGUUUAUAGUCUGGUCACACGCACAUGGGGCUUCCGUGCCCCGAACCUGGUGGUGUCAGUGCUGGGGGGAUCGGGGGGCCCCGUCCUCCAGACCUGGCUGCAGGACCUGCUGCGUCGUGGGCUGGUGCGGGCUGCCCAGAGCACAGGAGCCUGGAUUGUCACUGGGGGUCUGCACACGGGCAUCGGCCGGCAUGUUGGUGUGGCUGUACGGGACCAUCAGAUGGCCAGCACUGGGGGCACCAAGGUGGUGGCCAUGGGUGUGGCCCCCUGGGGUGUGGUCCGGAAUAGAGACACCCUCAUCAACCCCAAGGGCUCGUUCCCUGCGAGGUACCGGUGGCGCGGUGACCCGGAGGACGGGGUCCAGUUUCCCCUGGACUACAACUACUCGGCCUUCUUCCUGGUGGACGACGGCACACACGGCUGCCUGGGGGGCGAGAACCGCUUCCGCUUGCGCCUGGAGUCCUACAUCUCACAGCAGAAGACGGGCGUGGGAGGGACUGGAAUUGACAUCCCUGUCCUGCUCCUCCUGAUUGAUGGUGAUGAGAAGAUGUUGACGCGCAUAGAGAACGCCACCCAGGCUCAGCUCCCGUGUCUCCUCGUGGCUGGCUCAGGGGGAGCUGCGGACUGCCUGGCGGAGACCCUGGAAGACACUCUGGCCCCAGGGAGUGGGGGAGCCAGGCAAGGCGAAGCCCGAGAUCGAAUCAGGCGUUUCUUUCCCAAAGGGGACCUUGAGGUCCUGCAGGCCCAGGUGGAGAGGAUUAUGACCCGGAAGGAGCUCCUGACAGUCUAUUCUUCUGAGGAUGGGUCUGAGGAAUUCGAGACCAUAGUUUUGAAGGCCCUUGUGAAGGUCCUUCCAUCUCGAAGCUUCCCUCAUGGACGCCCUGCUGAAUGACCGGCCUGAGUUCGUGCGCUUGCUCAUUUCCCACGGCCUCAGCCUGGGCCACUUCCUGACCCCGAUGCGCCUGGCCCAACUCUACAGCGCGGCGCCCCCCAACUCGCUCAUCCGCAACCUUUUGGACCAGGCGUCCCACAACGCAGGCACCAAAGCCCCAGCCCUAAAAGGGGGAGCUGCGGAGCUCCGGCCCCCUGACGUGGGGCAUGUGCUGAGGAUGCUGCUGGGGAAGAUGUGCGCACCGAGGUACCCCUCCGGGGGCGCCUGGGACCCUCACCCAGGCCAGGGCUUCGGGGAGAGCAUGUGUCUACUCUCGGACAAGGCCACCUCGCCGCUCUCGCUGGAUGCUGGCCUCGGGCAGGCCCCCUGGAGUGACCUGCUUCUUUGGGCACUGUUGCUGAACAGGGCACAGAUGGCCAUGUACUUCUGGGAGAUGGGUUCCAAUGCAGUUUCCUCAGCUCUUGGGGCCUGUUUGCUGCUCCGGGUGAUGGCACGCCUGGAGCCUGACGCUGAGGAGGCAGCUCGGAGGAAAGACCUGGCGUUCAAGUUUGAGGGGAUGGGCGUUGGUGCGUGGGGCAAGGUGCCUGGGAGCAGGGACGGGGGCUGCCGCCAGAGGGGGAUGUGCAACUCCGCACUCCUCACCCGCACUCCUCACAUAUCCCUGCGCCAUCCCCUUAAAUUCCCUUACCUCUCCCUUCACACCCUCACCCUACUCCUUCCCAUCCCUGUCACAUAACUAACUCCUCUGCCCCAGACCUCUUUGGCGAGUGCUAUCGCAGCAGUGAGGUGAGGGCUGCCCGCCUCCUCCUCCGUCGCUGCCCGCUCUGGGGGGAUGCCACUUGCCUCCAGCUGGCCAUGCAAGCUGACGCCCGUGCCUUCUUUGCCCAGGAUGGGGUACAGUCUCUGCUGACACAGAAGUGGUGGGGAGAUAUGGCCAGCACUACACCCAUCUGGGCCCUGGUUCUCUCCUUCUUUUGCCCUCCACUCAUCUACACCCGCCUCAUCACCUUCAGGAAAUCAGAAGAGGAGCCCACACGGAAGGAGCUAGAGUUUGACAUGGAUAGUGUCAUUAAUGGGGAAGGGCCUGUCGGGACGGCGGACCCAGCCGAGAAGACGCCGCUGGGGGUCCCGCGCCAGUCGGGCCGUCCGGGUUGCUGCGGGGGCCGCUGCGGGGGGCGCCGGUGCCUACGCCGCUGGUUCCACUUCUGGGGCGCGCCGGUGACCAUCUUCAUGGGCAACGUGGUCAGCUACCUGCUGUUCCUGCUGCUUUUCUCGCGGGUGCUGCUCGUGGAUUUCCGGCCGGCGCCGCCCGGCUCCCUGGAGCUGCUGCUCUAUUUCUGGGCUUUCACGCUGCUGUGCGAGGAGCUGCGCCAGGGCCUGAGCGGAGGCGGGGGCAGCCUCGCCAGCGGGGGCCCCGGGCCUGGCCAUGCCUCACUGAGCCAGCGCCUGCGCCUCUACCUCGCCGACAGCUGGAACCAGUGCGACCUAGUGGCUCUCACCUGCUUCCUCCUGGGCGUGGGCUGCCGGCUGACCCCGGGUUUGUACCACCUGGGCCGCACUGUCCUCUGCAUCGACUUCAUGGUUUUCACGGUGCGGCUGCUUCACAUCUUCACGGUCAACAAACAGCUGGGGCCCAAGAUCGUCAUCGUGAGCAAGAUGAUGAAGGACGUGUUCUUCUUCCUCUUCUUCCUCGGCGUGUGGCUGGUGGCCUAUGGCGUGGCCACGGAGGGGCUCCUGAGGCCACGGGACAGUGACUUCCCAAGUGUCCUGCGCCGCGUCUUCUACCGUCCCUACCUGCAGAUCUUCGGGCAGAUCCCCCAGGAGGACAUGGACGUGGCCCUCAUGGAGCACAGCAACUGCUCGUCGGAGCCCGGCUUCUGGGCACACCCUCCUGGGGCCCAGGCGGGCACCUGCGUCUCCCAGUAUGCCAACUGGCUGGUGGUGCUGCUCCUCGUCAUCUUCCUGCUCGUGGCCAACAUCCUGCUGGUCAACUUGCUCAUUGCCAUGUUCAGUUACACAUUCGGCAAAGUACAGGGCAACAGCGAUCUCUACUGGAAGGCGCAGCGUUACCGCCUCAUCCGGGAAUUCCACUCUCGGCCCGCGCUGGCCCCGCCCUUUAUCGUCAUCUCCCACUUGCGCCUCUUGCUCAGGCAAUUGUGCAGGCGACCCCGGAGCCCCCAGCCGUCCUCCCCGGCCCUCGAGCAUUUCCGGGUUUACCUUUCUAAGGAAGCCGAGCGGAAGCUGCUAACGUGGGAAUCGGUGCAUAAGGAGAACUUUCUGCUGGCACGCGCUAGGGACAAGCGGGAGAGCGACUCCGAGCGUCUGAAGCGCACGUCCCAGAAGGUGGACUUGGCACUGAAACAGCUGGGACACAUCCGCGAGUACGAACAGCGCCUGAAAGUGCUGGAGCGGGAGGUCCAGCAGUGUAGCCGCGUCCUGGGGUGGGUGGCCGAGGCCCUGAGCCGCUCUGCCUUGCUGCCCCCAGGUGGGCCGCCACCCCCUGACCUGCCUGGGUCCAAAGACUGAGCCCUGCUGGCGGACUUCAAGGAGAAGCCCCCACAGGGGAUUUUGCUCCUAGAGUAAGGCUCAUCUGGGCCUCGGCCCCCGCACCUGGUGGCCUUGUCCUUGAGGUGAGCCCCAUGUCCAUCUGGGCCACUGUCAGGACCACCUUUGGGAGUGUCAUCCUUACAAACCACAGCAUGCCCGGCUCCUCCCAGAACCAGCCCCAGCCUGGGAGGAUCAAGGCCUGGAGCCUGGGCCGUUAUCCAUCUGGAGGC
rnacentral:sRNA from 1 species